ACAGGUAGAUAGGAAGAAGAUUCUAAGGCCAACGGGAGAAGGGUUGUUAAGGAACUCGGCAAGUUGACCCCGUAACUUAGGGAGAAGGGGUGCUCUUUAAGGAGAGCCGCAGAGAAUAGGCCCAAGCGACUGUUUAGCAAAAACACAGCUCUAUGCUAAAUCGAAAGAUGACGUAUAUGGGGUGACACCUGCCCGGUGCCGGAAGGUUAAGAGGAGGAGUGAGAGCUCUGAAUUGAAGCCCCGGUAAACGGCGGCCGUAACAAUAACGGUCCUAAGGUAGCGAAAUUCCUUGUCAGGUAAGUUCUGACCCGCACGAAUGGUGUAACGAUUUGGGCACUGUCUCAACAACCUGCCCGGCGAAAUUGUAGUACCGGUGAAGAUGCCGGUUACCCGCGACUAGACGGAAAGACCCCAUGGAGCUUUACUGCAGCUUAAUAUUGAAUUUCGGUAUUUCAUGUACAGGAUAGGUGGGAGACAGGGAACCAUAGGCGUCAGCUUAUGGGGAGUCGACCUUGGGAUACCACUCUUGAGGUGCUGGAAUUCUAACCUGUGGCUCUGAAUCGAGUCAGGGGACAUUGUUAGGCGGGCAGUUUGACUGGGGCGGUCGCCUCCAAAAAGGUAACGGAGGCGCUCAAAGGUUCGCUCAGCAUGGAUGGAAACCAUGCUUUUGAGUGUAAACGCAAAAGCGAGCCUAACUGCGAGACUGACGGGUCGAGCAGUAACGAAAGUUGGAGUUAGUGAUCCGGCGGUAUGUGAGUGGAAAUGCCGUCGCUCAACGGAUAAAAGCUACCCUGGGGAUAACAGGCUGAUCUCCCCCAAGAGUCCACAUCGACGGGGAGGUUUGGCACCUCGGUGUCGGCUCAUCGCAUCCUGGGGCUGAAUUCGGUCCCAAGGGUUUGGCUGUUCGCCAAUUAAAGCGGUACGCGAGCUGGGUUCAGAACGUCGUGAGACAGUUCGGUCCCUAUCUGUCGUGGGCGUAGGAUAUUUGAAAGGAGCUGUCCCUAGUACGAGAGGACCGGGAUGGACGCACCGCUGGUGCACCAGUUGUCAUGCCAAUGGCACAGCUGGGCAGCUAUGUGCGGAACGGAUAAACGCUGAAGGCAUCUAAGCGUGAAGCCGACCUUAAGAUAAGAUAUCCCUUCGUAAGAGUAAGACCUCUCAUAGACUAUGAGUUUGAUAGGCCUAAGGUGUAAGCACAGUGAUGUGUUCAGCCUGCAGGUACUAAUCGGUCGAGGGCUUUUCCU
rnacentral:rRNA from 1 species